CAGCCGCCACGGUAAUACGUAGGGUGCAAGCGUUAAUCGGAAUUACUGGGCGUAAAGCGUGCGUAGGCGGCUUCUUAAGUCGGAUGUGAAAUCCCUGAGCUUAACUUAGGAAUUGCAUUCGAUACUGGGAAGCUAGAGUAUGGGAGAGGAUGGUAGAAUUCCAGGUGUAGCGGUGAAAUGCGUAGAGAUCUGGAGGAAUACCGAUGGCGAAGGCAGCCAUCUGGCCUAAUACUGACGCUGAGGUACGAAAGCAUGGGGAGCAAACAGGAUUAGAUACCCCUGUAGUCCCUGUCUCUUAUAC
rnacentral:rRNA from 1 species